rnacentral:rRNA from 1 species
GACGAACGCUGGUGGCGUGCUUAACACAUGCAAGUCGAACGGGAUUUAGUAAACAGAAGCCUCGGUGGAAGAUUACUAAUGAGAGUGGCGAACGGGUGAGUAACGCGUGAGCAACCUGCCUAUGACAGUGGGAUAGCCUCAGGAAACCGGGAUUAAUACCGCAUAAAAUCGUAGAAACACAUGUUUUAACGGUCAAAGAUUUAUCGGUCAUAGAUGGGCUCGCGUCUGAUUAGCUAGUUGGUGAGAUAACAGCCCACCAAGGCGACGAUCAGUAGCCGGUCUGAGAGGAUGAACGGCCACAUUGGAACUGAGACACGGUCCAAACUCCUACGGGAGGCAGCAGUGGGGAAUAUUGCACAAUGGGGGAAACCCUGAUGCAGCGACGCCGCGUGAACGAAGAAGGUAUUCGUAUCGUAAAGUUCUGUCCUAUGGGAAGAUAAUGACAGUACCAUAGAAGAAAGCUCCGGCUAAAUACGUG